CAGGAGCACAGGUGAAGGCAAUUUACCCGUGCUGCUGGAAGGGAUGGAGCCUGGCUCCACUUCUCCGAGACCCAUUUAAAAGCUGAUUACAGUGGGGAAGGAUCUCUUCUGGAGAUUCACUCCCCUGGAGUUUUAUAGUGAGCCCAGGAUGUGGCUCACAGGAACCUGUCCCUAAAUCUCAUCCCUUUAAUCUUCUGGCAGUUAAUUUAUAUCUAGUAGAAGUCCAGUGAAGAAAAUUGUGGAGAAGCAGAACUACACUGCAAUGAAGAAAUACUUAAAAUAUGUGCGUUAUCCACAGAAAACUGAGCCUGGUUCUGACUUUAGCCCAGAGUAAGCUGAACAAAAUGUUACUGGAAGCUGUGGAGGUGCGCCGUCAGGUCAUAUUGAACUAUGGCUGUUACAGGGCCACAGCAGUUCAUGGGAUGGGACUGUGAAAGGAAGGAGGGCAGAGAAUUCCCACCGGUAAAGCAGCUGAUGUCACCAAAGAUUCAUGAGCACUUACACUUUCUCAGUGCUGCUACAGUUCUCUUACACAAAAUCAAGGGAAAUUGUUUUUCAAAUAAGAACAGCAGCCUGCAAACAGACUUACAAGGCACUGGGAACUUUGAAGGACCUGAAAAGCCAUGAGUGAUGAUUCUCUGUGGGUGCCUGGCUCAGUUUAACCCACUCACCUGUGAAUUGCAGCACUGCACACACUGGAAAAAGAAGCAUAAAUGUCUGUGCCAUAAACACGGUAUUUUACAUCUUGACAUCCUGGAGGGCAUUUUGCAAUGAAUUCUGGAUUUAUUA